UAAAUGCGCUCAAAAAACUCAAUAGUUAAUUCUGAGUUUUUAUAGAAUUGUUGUUGGAAUAAACUUUAUUUAUCGGUAUUAAAGAUACAACAGCUGAUGUAGAAAUUAUUUAAAUGUGUAUGUGACAUAUGCCAAAAUUCAUUAGAUAAUACUAUGUAUGCGUGAGUAGAUACCAAACAAUUUUUUUUGGAUUAACAUUUAUUUAAUCAGUACAAAAAACACAUGUCAGUGGUUUUUUAAGAAGAAAUUAAAUAUAUAAUUAAUAUAUAAAAUUUAAUAUAUAUAAUAUAAAUAAAUUAAAUGGCAACAGUGCAAAGAAUAAUAGCCCAGUUGAAUAACAACUUUUCUACCACGUAUCCAUAGAGAAAUAUACUUACAAAGAGAACCUGCCACACCCUUAAAUUAUAUUUGAAGUGAACUCUGUCAAAUUCCGUAUCGGUGAAUACAUAUCAAAAACCUUAAUAAUCAAAAGAAGCAACAAGUGCACUUAAUUAAAAAACCUAUAAACUAGAAACCAGUAGAAAACAAUGAGUCUUAUUCUAUUCGGAGUUAAAGAAGGUACGUUUAAAAAAAGAAUGUCGUAAACAAAAGAAUAGGUAAGUUACUUUGAUCCUAGUUAGGGAUUAUUGCAAUAAUAUAAUUGACUAGCUCCAAUCUGGUAUUUCAACGCACAGAACGCAAAAACCCUCAAGAAAUUUGAGCAAUGUAAAAUUUUUUAUUGUAAUUUUUAAUAAAUUACCUAAUUCGAUCAUCAUUUUUAUUGCAUUUAUGCAAAUAGUCAGAUACUCGUAAUACAUCAACACCAGUUGCAACAACCCCACCAGAGCUACGAAUUCCAUUCCAAAAUAAGCGAACAUCCACAGCUAUACCAUCGACUUUGCGUGACUUUGUGAGAUUCAAAUCAAUGUCACAAGUGAAAGCUUCGACAUUAAUAGUCGACCGCCCAGUUUUGGACUGACUAAGGAACAACGGCAAAGUACAUAUGUAGGCAAAUCAGUUCUGUAAGUUUUGCAACGUGCUCCGCAUAUUCAUCAGCAGCAAAGAUGUAUGACAAAAAAACCACAGUGACUUAAUGACAGCAGGACACUAAACACAAAUAACUGGACUCACAUAAAAGACCUUCGAUAGAGGAAAGCCACUACAAACUGCCGAAAUGAUGUUCGAAGAAUUAAGAACCCGCAACCUUCACCUGCCGAAAAUCUCCAAAAAUAAUACAAUCGGAAAUUGUGCAUUUGUGGUUUUGGAAUUUCCCUUGCAAAAGAAUGUCACAAACGACUUGCCACAAUUUUUUAAUCAACGGGUUAACGGUAGGUUAAAAUCUCCAAGGAUUAUAAUAUAACAAUUUUCAUCUAAGGUUUUUGCAAUAUCUUUAACAUUAUUGAUAUGAGCUUCAUAAACAGAAUAUUGAGAAAAUGGAGAAAUGUAUGAAAUAAAAAACUAAUAUGAAUAGUUUUUCCAGUUAAAAUACCUAAAUCUACACAAAUACACAUUUGAUCAAUAUCUUUGCCGUAUAACAAAAUUUCUUUAAAAAUAUGUCCAGAUCAGAUGGCAAAUAAAACAACGCCGCCCGUUUUUAAGCCUGUACUCGCAGAUCACCGAACAUUUCGAUAAACAUUAAAAUCCGAUGUAAAAUGUUUAGUUGACAGAAAACUAUAAUGAUAAACCGAUAAAGAUAAUAAAUCAUAAAAUCUUUUGUUUAUGUUGCAGAACUUUUUUGGUGUGGAUGCAAUUCGUUUUUUUUUU